rnacentral:rRNA from 1 species
UGGGGAAUAUUGGGCAAUGGGGGAAACCCUGACCCAGCGACGCCGCGUGAGGGAAGAAGGUUUUCGGAUCGUAAACCUCUGUUGUACGGGAAGAAGGAAGUGACGGUACCGUACGAGGAAGCCCCGGCAAACUACGUGCCAGCAGCCGCGGUAAUACGUAGGGGGCGAGCGUUGUCCGGAAUUACUGGGCGUAAAGGGUGCGCAGGCUGUUUUGCGAGUCUGCUGUGAAAUACAUCGGCUCAACCGGUGAAUUGCGGCGGAUACUGCGAGACUGGAGUACUGGAGAGGGAAGUGGAAUUCCCGGGUGUAGCGGUGAAAUGCGUAGAUAUCGGGAGGAACACCGGUGGCGAAGGCGGCUUCCGUGGCCAGGUUACUGACGCUCAUGCACGAAGCUGGGGUAGC